GUGUCAGCCGCCGCGGUAACACGAACCGUCCAAACGUUAUUCGGAAUAACUGGGCUUAAAGGGUUCGUAGGCGGCUAUGAAGGUGGGGUGUGAAAUCCCUCGGCUCAACCGAGGAACUGCGCUCCAAACCGCAUGGCUUGAGGGAGACAGAGGUAAGCGGAACUGAUGGUGGAGCGGUGAAAUGCGUUGAUAUCAUCAGGAACACCGGUGGCGAAGGCGGCUUACUGGGUCUCUUCUGACGCUGAGGAACGAAAGCUAGGGGAGCGAACGGGAUUAGAAACCCGCGUAGUCC
rnacentral:rRNA from 1 species